rnacentral:rRNA from 1 species
CAUGCAAGUCGAGCGGUAACAGACAUAAAGAUUCAGCUUGCUGAAUCUGGUGCUGACGAGCGGCGAACGGGUGAGUAACGCGUAGGAAUCUACCCAGUAGCGGGGGAUAGCCCGGGGAAACCCGGAUUAAUACCGCAUACGCCCUAAGGGGGAAAGGGGGCAGCUUGCUGCUUUCACUAUUGGAUGAGCCUGCGUAAGAUUAGCUUGUUGGUGGGGUAAAGGCCUACCAAGGCAACGAUCUUUAGCUGGUCUGAGAGGACGAUCAGCCACAUUGGGACUGAGACACGGCCCAGACAUCUACGGAUGGCAGCAGUUAAGAAUAUUGGACAAUGGGGGCAACCCUGAUCCAGGUAUACCGCGUGUGUGAAGAAGGCCCUAGGGUUGUAAAGCACUUUAAUCAGUGAAGAAGCAUUUUAGAUUAAUACCCUAAUUUGUUGACGUUACCUGAAGAAUAAGGACCGGCUAACUCCGUGCCAGCAGCCGCGGUAAUACGGAGGGUCCAAGCGUUAAUCGGAAUUACUGGGCGUAAAGCGCGCGUAGGCGGUUUAGCAAGUUGCAUGUGAAAGCCCUGGGCUCAACCUAGGAACUGCAUUCAAAACUACUAAACUAGAGUACGAGAGAGGAGAGUAGAAUUUCUGGUGUAGCGGUGAAAUGCGUAGAUAUCAGAAGGAAUACCAAUGGCGAAGGCAGCUCUCUGGCUCGUCACUGACGCUAAGGUGCGAAAGCGUGGGUAGCAAACAGGAUUAGAUACCCUGGUAGUCCACGCCGUAAACGAUGAGAACUAGCCGUUGGAUAGAUUUAACUGUUCAGUGGCACAGCUAACGCAUUAAGUUCUCCGCCU